CUACGGGCCGCUGCAGUGGGGAAUAUUGCACAAUGGAGGGGACUCUGAUGCAGCAACGCCGCGUGGAGGAUGACACAUUUCGGUGCGUAAACUCCUUUUAUAUAAGAAGAUAAUGACGGUAUUAUAUGAAUAAGCACCGGCUAACUCCGUGCCAGCAGCCGCGGUAAUACGGGGGGUGCAAGCGUUACUCGGAAUCACUGGGCGUAAAGAGCAUGUAGGCUGGUUUGUAAGUUGGAAGUGAAAUCCUAUGGCUUAACCAUAGAACUGCUUCCAAAACUACUUACCUAGAGUAUGGGAGAGGUAGAUGGAAUUUCUGGUGUAGGGGUAAAAUCCGUAGAGAUCAGAAGGAAUACCGAUUGCGAAGGCGAUCUACUGGAACAUUACUGACGCUCAGAUGCGAAAGCGUGGGGAGCAAACAGGAUUAGAUACCCUCGUAGUC
rnacentral:rRNA from 1 species